UGCUCGAAUACUCCCGCGCAAUGGGUUUCAAGGUUUUUAAGGCCUUCUCGACGGAGCGAUUCCAAUCUUACGUAGGAUUUCUCGAGAAUUUACAGCCUUGUACCUGAAAUUCCCAAGUUGUCUUCCAAGUUAUUUCAGGGCUAUCUUUGUGAAAUCUGUGGUCUAAUUGGCCUGUUCUGAUUUUAGAGUUCUGGGGAAAGAAGCAUUCAUGCUUAGCUACAUAAUACUAGAACGAAAACCUUGUAUUGGGACUUAUGCACGGGUGUGAGGGACUUAUGUUAGUUGUGGGGUCGAGGCCGGGACAACCAUGUUUGGGAUUCCCCAGCACAACGUUUCCAGCCUUGCGUUUCCUUUGUAAUUUUUUCUGGACCAAGGGGAACACACGAUAUAUAUGUGCUUAUCUCUUGGGAUACUUGAGCUGAGAGGAGCGUGACAUCCUUGCAUUUAUUCUGGAGUCGAGAGGGCGCAUAGCAGCCCUGCCGGGUCACUUCUCGGCACCAGUUUUUUAGCCCUGUUCGGGUGCCACAUUUCCAGCCCUACUGGGUCACCUCUCGGUACCGGUUUUUCAGCCCUGCUCGGGGUGCAUUUUCAGCUCUUCCGGCUUUCCUCUCACAGUAGAUUUCCAGCCUUGCUCGGGUCUCCUCACGUAACGGGUUUUCAGCCGUGCUCAGAGCCAUCUUUAAGAAAUCUUUGACGCUCAGGUGCAUGCAACACUGACUAGGGAUAAUCAGUACCAGAUCAUCUUGGUAGGGAAUCUACUGUUUUGAGAACAUCCUCAUCUAUAUUGCUGCUUUUUACCACUUAUUGCUCACCGGGCAAGUGAAGGGAACCAGUUUGGUGAUGAUUGGUUCGAUUGGGUUCAUGCCGAAUCUCAAAGUUAGCUGAGUAGUUUGGAGCAUCUGUAUCUUGUUCCCGACACUCACUUGGAUGUAUUGCCUCGUGGGAGACCAGCAAGAUAGAGCAAAGAUGUCGAGUUCAUUGAGAAUGUUGCAGCAUUGUCUGAACAAGAUGAUAUUGUGAAAGAUAAAAUUAUCGGGCUGUUGGUGUACAGAAAUUGGGCAUAUUCAACAAACAUGUGCUGUUAGAAUAUUGUAUUUGUGCAAAAGGUUCACUGAGGGAAUUUAUUAUGUUUAAAUCUGAAUAUAUACUCUUUCAGACUUUGGAACUUCAAGAUUUUUUCUUUCUCUC
rnacentral:lncRNA from 1 species